GAGGUGGGAGGACUGCUUGAGCCCAGGAGGUAGAGGCUGCAGUGAGCUGUGAUCAUACCACUGCACUCCAGCCUGGGCAACAGAGCAAGAUUCUGUCUCA
rnacentral:miRNA from 1 species